rnacentral:rRNA from 1 species
GACGAACCGUGCGAACGUUGUUCGGAUUCACUGGGCUUAAAGGGCGCGUAGGCGGAGGGUCAAGUCCGAGGUGAAAUCUUUCGGCUCAACCGGAAAAGUGCCUUGGAUACUGAUUCUCUCGAGGGAGGUAGGGGCAUGUGGAACUUCCGGUGGAGCGGUGAAAUGCGUAGAUAUCGGAAGGAACGCCGGUGGCGAAAGCGACGUGCUGGACCUCUUCUGACGCUGAGGCGCGAAAGCCAGGGGAGCAAACGGG